GGGGUUAGUUGUGUCCCUUGAUACUGGAUGCGUUUAGUAGAACUAAUAACUCUG
rnacentral:tRNA from 1 species